UGGGGAAUAUUGCACAAUGGGCGCAAGGCCUGAUGCAGCCAUGCCGCGUGUGUGAAGAAGGCCUUCGGGUUGUAAAGCACUUUCAGCGAGGAGGAAGGUGGUGAGCUUAAUACGCUCAUCAAUUGACGUUACUCGCAGAAGAAGCACCGGCUAACUCCGUGCCAGCAGCCGCGGUAAUACGGAGGGUGCAAGCGUUAAUCGGAAUUACUGGGCGUAAAGCGCACGCAGGCGGUUUGUUAAGUCAGAUGUGAAAUCCCCGGGCUCAACCUGGGAACUGCAUUUGAAACUGGCAAGCUAGAGUCUCGUAGAGGGGGGUAGAAUUCCAGGUGUAGCGGUGAAAUGCGGUAGAGAUCUGGAGGAAUACCGGUGGCGAAGGCGGCCCCCUGGACGAAGACUGACGCUCAGGUGCGAAAGCGUGGGGAGCAAAACAGGAUUAGAUACCCGUGGCUAGUCCACGCUGUAAAACGAUGUCGAUUUGGAGGUUGUGCCCUUGAGGCGUGGCUUCCGGAGCUAACGCGUUA
rnacentral:rRNA from 1 species